UUCCUGGUAGUCCAGUGGUUAAAACUUGGACUUUCACUGCCAUGGACCCAGGUUCGAUCCCUGGCUGGGGAA
rnacentral:tRNA from 1 species